UAAAUACUCCCUCCGUCCAAAAAUACUUGUCAUCAAAAUGGAUAAAAAGAGAUGUAUCUAAAACUAAAAUACGUCUAGAUACAUUUCCUUUUAUCCAUUUUGAUGACAAGUAUUUCCGGACGGAGGGAGUAUUUG
rnacentral:pre_miRNA from 1 species